rnacentral:rRNA from 1 species
AUUGAACGCUGGCGGCAUGCCUUACACAUGCAAGUCGAACGGCAGCACGGGAGCAAUCCUGGUGGCGAGUGGCGAACGGGUGAGUAAUACAUCGGAACGUGCCCAAUCGUGGGGGAUAACGCAGCGAAAGCUGUGCUAAUACCGCAUACGAUCUACGGAUGAAAGCAGGGGACCGCAAGGCCUUGCGCGAAUGGAGGGGCCGAUGGCAGAGUAGGUAGUUGGGGGGGUAAAGGCUCACCAAGCCAACGAUCUGUAGCUGGUCUGAGAGGACGACCAGCCACACUGGGACUGAGACACGGCCCAGACUCCUACGGGAGGCAGCAGUGGGGAAUUUUGGACAAUGGGCGCAAGCCUGAUCCAGCCAUGCCGCGUGCAGGAUGAAGGCCUUCGGGUUGUAAACUGCUUUUGUACGGAACGAAAAGUCUCUUUCUAAUAAAGAGGGAUCAUGACGGUACCGUAAGAAUAAGCACCGGCUAACUACGUGCCAGCCGCCGCCGUAAAAC